rnacentral:rRNA from 1 species
AGUGAACGCUGGCGGUAGGCCUAACACAUGCAAGUCGAACGGCAGCACAGUAAGAGCUUGCUCUUACGGGUGGCGAGUGGCGGACGGGUGAGGAAUACAUCGGAAUCUACUUUUUCGGGGGGGAUAACGUAGGGAAACUUACGCUAAUACCGCAUACGACCUACGGGUGAAAGCAGGGGAUCUUCGGACCUUGCGCGAUUGAAUGAGCCGAUGUCGGAUUAGCUAGUUGGCGGGGUAAAGGCCAACCAAGGCGACGAUCCGUAGCUGGUCUGAGAGGAUGAUAGGCCACACUGGAGCUGGGACACGGUCCAGACUACUACGGGAGGCAGCAGUGGGGAAUAUGGGACAAUGGGCGCAAGCCUGAUCCAGCGAUACCGCGUGUGUGAAGAAGGCCUUCGGGUUGUAAAGCCCUUUUGUUGGGAAAGAAAAGCAGCAGGUUAAUACCCCGCUGUUCUGACGGUACCCAAAGAAUAAGCACCGGCUAACUUCGUG